GACGAACGCUGGCGGCGUGCCUAAUACAUGCAAGUCGAACGCUUCUUUCCUCCCGAGUGCUUGCACUCAAUUGGAAAGAGGAGUGGCGGACGGGUGAGUAACACGUGGGUAACCUACCCAUCAGAGGGGGAUAACACUUGGAAACAGGUGCUAAUACCGCAUAACAGUUUAUGCCGCAUGGCAUAAGAGUGAAAGGCGCUUUCGGGUGUCGCUGAUGGAUGGACCCGCGGUGCAUUAGCUAGUUGGUGAGGUAACGGCUCACCAAGGCCACGAUGCAUAGCCGACCUGAGAGGGUGAUCGGCCACACUGGGACUGAGACACAGCCCAGACUCCUACGGGAGGCAGCAGUAGGGAAUCUUCGGCAAUGGACGAAAGUCUGACCGAGCAACGCCGCGUGAGUGAAGAAGGUUUUCGGAUCGUAAAACUCUGAUGUUAGAGAAGAACAAGGACGUUAGUAACUGAACGUCCCCUGACGGUAUCUAACCAGAAAGCCACGGCUAACUACGU
rnacentral:rRNA from 1 species